rnacentral:misc_RNA from 1 species
CUUUUAGUAAUGUUCGCGACGCCAUGUCGAAUUUACCACAUACUUAUUUAUCAUAAUUUUUGAAAAAGAUUUAUCCAAGUUAUAUCAAUAAAUAUAUUAUAAACGUAAAUAUAAUUUAAAACUAUUAUGUUUAAAAACUUUAGGAUAGAUAAUAAAGUGAUUUAUAAAUUUUGUUUUUUAAAUUGUGUCGAAUAUUGUAAUUUAAAAAAAAAAAGUUUAAAUAAUAAUUCAAAUUAAUAAAAAUAUUCAACGAUGAAAUGAGGACUACAAUUGCAACAAGGGAAUCCCGACCUUUUCGGCGAAGUAUCACUGAUCCGGAAGUCGGAAGUCGUGAUCCCUUAGAUAACAGAGAACAUUUUAGUCAAGAUAAUUUGAUGACUGGAGAAUCGAGUUUUCAAAAUCAUCCUGAGAUCACAACAUCCGGACAGAUGCUGACUAACCAGAGUCAGACAAGUAGCAGUAGUAGCAGUAGGAUUAGUAGCAGCAGUACAACGAGCAGCAGAGUUGCUAAGUCCUCACAGAGGAUAUUAACAUCAUCAUCAUCGAGUGAAAUGAAAGCCAGCUCAAUGAAAAACGAUUUAAGUGAGUUAAAACGUGGUAUAUCUGAAAUGAAAAAUAUGUCAACAAAUUUCACAUCAAGACUUCGAAGUAGUAUGGAAAAUCUUGUUGACAGAGAUGGAAACGUUGAUGAGGAAAAUAAUUAUACAGAGCCAUUAGUAACAUUUCCCGAUCCAGAUACACCACCACCAGUGACUGGCACAACAGGUUUAACAGUCAACACUUCAUCUCCAUUAGCAUCACUUAAUUCACGUAAUAGUCUUGAUUUUCCAAAACAUAGUAUGAAACCAACAAUAACAAUGCCACAAAUAUCAAGUAUUGGUGGAUUAACAACUGGCCAAGAAACACUUAAAUAUGAACAAAAAAAAAUGACAAGUGCAUCUAAAACCAAGGUGGUGACUGAUGGUUUUAGUGCUGAAAAAGCAACAGCAAAUAGUGCAGAAAUGCGUGCUCUAAUGACUGGUGAUGUUUCCUACAAAGAACAAACAGCAGCAACAGCAGCAAGAGCUAGAGUUGAAGUAGAUGGUGUUUCAGCUGAAAAAAGUGUUGCAUCAGCUCGAGAAAAAAAAAUAUUGAAGACUGGUGAUUUGGCACAUCAAGAGAGUAACAAUGUGGCAGCAACAAGUAUGAAACUUCAGAGUGAUUCGUUUAGCACUGAAAAGACAGCAAUGGCUGCUCAACAACAACGACAAACAAUGACAUCAUCAGGAAUGUAUAAUCAUGAAAAACAUACAGCAACAUCAUCACAAUCAAGUAUGACAUUUGCAAAAGGUACAACAUCAAAAUCAUCAAUGAUAACGGCAGCAGCAGCAGUUAAUCAAUUAAUGAAUGGUAAUCGUCCUGGUGAUGAAGAAUUAUUAAAUUUAUCACUUGAUGAUUUAGAUCAUUUAUGUUCAAAUUCAAAUCCUCAAGAUGUUGAUAAAGCAAGAGCAAAGUAUUCAAAUUUUUUAGAUUUAUUUGUUGAACGAUUAAAAUCAACAGAUUCAAAUAAUAAUGGUAAAGCACCAUUAUUAUUAAAUAGAGUUAAUGAAAUAAUAAGAAAAGCAUGGGCAGUACCAACAUAUGGUCAUGAACUUGGUUAUACAUUAUGUAAUAUAUUACGUACACGUGGUGGUCUUGAUAUGUUAAUGACAAAUUGUAUUGCAAAUGAUCAUGAAUUACAAUUUUCAUCAGCAAAAUUACUUGAACAAUGUUUAACAACUGAAAAUCGUGUACAUGUUGUUGAAAAUGGUUUAGAAAAAGUUGUUGAAGUUGCAUGUGUUUGCACAAAAAAUCAAAAUUCAGAUUAUUCACGUGUUGGUACUGGUAUACUUGAACAUUUAUUUAAACAUUCAGAAGGUACAUGUAGUGAUGUUAUACGUCUUGGUGGUCUUGAAGCUGUAUUAUUUGAAUGUCGUAAAAAUGAUGUUGAUACAUUACGACAUGUUGCUGGUGCACUUGCUAAUUUAUCAUUAUAUGGUGGUGCUGAAAAUCAAGAAUUUAUGAUUAAAAGAAAAGUACCAGUAUGGUUAUUUCCAUUAGCAUUUCAUCAUGAUGAUAAUAUAAAAUAUUAUGCAUGUCUUGCUAUUGCUGUAUUAGUUGCAAACAAAGAAAUUGAAGCUGCUGUAUUAGAAUCAGGUACAUUGGAUUUAGUUGAGCCAUUUGUAACAUCACAUAAUCCAUAUGAAUUUGCUAAAUCAAAUUUAGCACAUGCACAUGGACAAUCAAAAAAUUGGCUUGAAAGAUUAGUACCAGUAUUAAGUUCAAAACGUGAAGAAGCUAGAAAUUUAGCUGCAUUUCAUUUUUGUAUGGAAGCUGGUAUUAAAAAACAACAAGGUAAUACUGAAAUAUUCCGUGAAAUUGGUGCAAUUGAUGCAUUAAAAAAAGUUGCUAGUUCACCAAAUGCUGUUGCAUCAAAAUAUGCUGCACAAGCAUUACGUUUAAUUGGUGAAGAAGUACCACAUAAAUUAAGUCAACAAGUACCAUUAUGGUCAAGUGAAGAUGUACGUGAAUGGGUUAAACAAAUUGGUUUUGCUGAAUAUGCACAAAAUUUUAUUGAUAGUCGUGUUGAUGGUGAUUUAUUAUUACAAUUAACUGAAUCAAAUUUAAGUGAAGAUAUUGGUUUAACAAAUGGUAUUAAAAGACGUAGAUUUACACGUGAAUUACAAAAUUUAAAAAAAAUGGCUGAUUAUAGUAGUCGUGAUACUGGUAAUUUAAAUACAUUUUUACAACAAAUUGGACAAGAAUUUUCAAUAUAUACAUAUAGUAUGUUAAAUGCUGGUGUUGAUAAAGAUAGUAUUAGAACAAUAUCUGAAGAUCAAUUAACACAAGAAUGUAGUAUUACAAAUUCAAUACAUAGAUUAAGAAUACUUGAAGCUAUUAAAAAUAUAUCAUCAAAUCAAUUUAGUUCAUGUAUCAAUGAAAGUCCAGAUAAAAGUCUUGAUGUAUUUGUUAGUUAUAGAAGAUCAAAUGGUUCACAAUUAGCAUCAUUAUUAAAAGUACAUUUACAAUUACGUGGUUUUUCAGUAUUUAUUGAUGUUGAAAAACUUGAAGCUGGUAAAUUUGAUAAUAAUUUAUUACAAAGUAUAAGACAAGCUAAAAAUUUUUUAUUAGUAUUAACACCAAAAGCAUUAGAUAGAUGUUCAACUGAUAGUGAAUGUAAAGAUUGGGUACAUCGUGAAAUUGUUGCUGCAUUACAAUCACAAUGUAAUAUUAUACCAAUUAUUGAUAACUUUCAAUGGCCAGAACCAGAAGAAUUACCAGAAGAUAUGAGAGCUGUUUGUCAUUUUAAUGGUGUCAGAUGGAUUCAUGAUUAUCAAGAUGCUUGUGUUGAUAAAUUAGAAAGGUUUAUGAGAGGUGAAUUACAACGAAUAGAUUUAAUGAGCAAUAUACCAAGAAGCAUAGCAACAUCAAAAGAUGUUACAACACCAGGUACACCAGGUAGUACAACAAAUAUACGACAACAACCACCAAGUUUUCAACGUAUGCAUAGCAAUGAAAGUCGUGGUAGUGAUAAAGAUUCAACAAAUGGACGAGAUUGACUAGAAGGCCCACUAACAUCAAUUCCAAACAGCACGAGCCACGAAAAAACAUUUAAAGAUACUGAAUAAACAAGUAGUUUAAAAAUAGAUAUAGAAAAACUUCAAGUCCUGGACGUCUAAUAAACAUACCAUUGACAACAGGAAGAAUACAAUUUUAUCAUGGAAAAUCAAGAAGAAAUAGUAUUGUGCCA